rnacentral:rRNA from 1 species
UACGUAGGCAGCGAGCGUUGUUCGGAGUUACUGGGCGUAAAGAGUGCGUAGGCGGUGCUCCAAGUCUGGUGUGAAAUCUCCCGGCUUAACCGGGAGGGUGCGCCGGAAACUGGGGUGCUGGAGUGUGGGAGAGGUAAGCGGAAUUCCCGGUGUAGCGGUGAAAUGCUUAGAUAUGACAUAGAACACCUAUUGCGAAGGCAGCUUACUACGCAUAUAUUGACGCUGAGGCACGAAAGCGUGGGGGAUCAAACAGG